rnacentral:lncRNA from 1 species
CGUCGAUCAGAAGCUCCCAAAGGAGCCAAACCCUAGCUCAAGCUUAUUUGCUCAAAUUGAAAGGGGAAUUCAACCCAAAUCUAAUGCAUGUACCCGAAUUCUUAGUCAUCUAGCCCUAAAGAUCACUUGAAUAGGAACCACACUAGCAUGGACCAAGCAUGGAAGGCUAACGGGUCAAGAUGAGGCAAGCAAGCGGGUAUGAACACGGAUGCACAAGAUCAAAUAUGUGA